UGGCGAACGGGUGAGUAACACGUGGGUGAUCUGCCCUGUACUUUGGGAUAAGCCUGGGAAACUGGGUCUAAUACCGGAUAUGACAAUUGUUUGGAUGCGAUUGUGGAAAGCUUUUGCGGUAUGGGAUGAGCUCGCGGCCUAUCAGCUUGUUGGUGGGGUAAUGGCCUACCAAGGCGUCGACGGGUAGCCGGCCUGAGAGGGUGUACGGCCACAUUGGGACUGAGAUACGGCCCAG
rnacentral:rRNA from 1 species